CCCUACGGGGGGCAGCAGUCGGGAAUAUUGCGCAAUGGAGGAAACUCUGACGCAGUGACGCCGCGUAUAGGAAGAAGGUUUUCGGAUUGUAAACUAUUGUCGUUAGGGAAGAUAAAAGACAGUACCUAAGGAGGAAGCUCCGGCUAACUACGUGCCAGCAGCCGCGGUAAUACGUAGGGAGCAAGCGUUAUCCGGAUUUACUGGGUGUAAAGGGCGUGUAAGCGGGAAAGCAAGUCAGAUGUGAAAACCAUGGGCUCAACCUGUGGCCUGCAUUUGAAACUGUUUUUCUUGAGUACUGGAGAGGC
rnacentral:rRNA from 1 species